UACGUAGGUGGCGAGCGUUGUCCGGAUUUACUGGGCGUAAAGGGAGCGUAGGCGGGAGGAUAAGUUGAAUGUGAAAUCUAUGGGCUCAACCCAUAGCUGCGUUCAAAACUGUUCUUCUUGAGUGAAGUAGAGGCAGGCGGAAUUCCUAGUGUAGCGGUGAAAUGCGUAGAGAUUAGGAAGAACACCAGUGGCGAAGGCGGUUCUCUGGACUGUAACUGACGCUGAGGCUCGAAAGCGUGGGGAGCAAACAGG
rnacentral:rRNA from 1 species